CAAUAGCGUAUAUUAAAGUUGUUGCAGUUAAAAAGCUCGUAGUUGAAUUUUUGCUUGCCGCCGAUGUCGGAACUUCCGUACGUUCGGCGGCGUGCAUCCUUGGGUGGAACCUGUGGGGCAUUAGGUUGUCGUGCAGGGGAUGCUCAUCGUUUACUGUGAAAAAAUUAGAGUGUUCAAAGCAGGCUUACGCCGUUGAAUAUAUUAGCAUGGAAUAAUAAGAUAGGACCUUGGUACUAUUUUGUUGGUUUGCGCACCGAGGUAAUGAUUAACAGGGACAGUUGGGGGUAUUCGUAUUCCAUUGUCAGAGGUGAAAUUCUUGGAUUUCUGGAAGACGAACUACUGCGAAAGCAUUUACCAAGGAUGUUUUCAUUAA
rnacentral:rRNA from 1 species